rnacentral:rRNA from 1 species
UACAGAGGGUGCAAGCGUUAAUCGGAAUUACUGGGCGUAAAGCGUGCGUAGACGGUUAUGUAAGUCGGGUGUGAAAGCCCCGGGCUCAACCUGGGAAUGCCAUUCGAGACUGCAUAGCUAGGGUGCGGAAGAGGGAAGCGGAAUUUCCGGUGUAGCGGUGAAAUGCGUAGAUAUCGGAAGGAACACCAGUGGCGAAAAGCGGCUUCCUGGUCCAGCACCGGACGUCAGGCACGAAAGCGUGGGGAGCAAACAGG